rnacentral:rRNA from 1 species
UACGUAGGGGGCGAGCGUUAUCCGGAUUCACUGGGUUUAAAGGGUGCGUAGGAGGGCAGGUAAGUCAGUGGUGAAAUCCCGGGGCUUAACUCCGGAACUGCCGUUGAUACUAUCUGUCUUGAAUGCCGUGGAGGUGAGCGGAAUAUGUCAUGUAGCGGUGAAAUGCUUAGAUAUGACAUAGAACACCGAUUGCGAAGGCAGCUCGCUACACGAACAUUGACUCUGAGGCACGAAAGCGUGGGGAUCAAACAGG